rnacentral:lncRNA from 1 species
GGCGGACGUCUUGCGCGCUUCCUGGUCCGUUGCCUUGGAAACGGCUUAACCCUUCCCUCUGGCAAGUCCCCAGGCCUUGGCUUGCUCCGCAGAUUUGGUUUCAGGCUCUGCCUCUUUUCCCUCGACCCCUUAGUCUUAACAGCCUGGGGCCAGCUGGGCUCCUUCUUCGCCACAAGGCUAGUUUUGCUUUCUUCCGAAGCCCGGGGCCCUUCCCAAAGUGGCAGCCCCACCAGAUCCGAAGGCCCAAGGAAGGCUCAUCCUUUCUGAUGGCUCCGCCCCUUCUCCCAGCAUCUCCGGGGAGGACCACUCACAGCGCACCGGGCAACCAGCCCUAUCCCAGCCAAGAAGUAGCUUCCAGGGUUCUCAGGGCCCUAGUGCUCACCCUGAUGUCUUUACGUGGUAUGGAAAUCGGAAAGUAAAGCUUUGGUCACUGGGAAGCCUAGCCAGAGAUGAAAAGCUGUUAUGGUGAUUAUUUUCACCUAAAAUCGGAAGGGCCAGUCCAGUCAAAUUGCCCUGUCUCCUAAAGGGCAUCUGUUCCUCAAGAGUGGAAACACCUGGCAAUAAGAAAGACAUUUUUGAGUGUAUCCUCGUUAUGAGUUAAGUUUUGCCCUGUUCAGAGGAGAGGGUCACGGAAGAAAGGGUGCAUUCGUUUGUUCAUUUCUUCAUUCAACAAACACUACUCUAGGCUGUUGAUUGAACAAUGAUGAAGACAAGUAGUGUAGAUUCUAGGGAACUUAUCUGAGGGUGAAAAGAAAAAAAAUCUGUUGGUUUUAAGCUGUAUGCAAAGAAGUUACAAUAAGUGACGUGAUGGUGAUGGUGACUGAGUGGCUAGUAAAGGGGAUGCCCUUUUAAGGAGGAGAUAUUUUAGCAGCGAUUUGAAUAACAGACGCAAAAAUCAGAGCAUAGAGCAUUCCAGGAAAAGGAUAACACUAAUUCAAAGGCCCUAAGUAAGGAUCUAUUCUAGUGCAUUUGAGGGAAGAAGAAAUGAGAAAGUAAACUUUCUUGAGCCUGGAGAUGGAAACUGUAAGAGUUAAAGAAAGAAACACAAAAAGCAGCUUAACAGAGACAGGUUUAUUUUGGAGAAUAAACCUGAGAGGGGCUUCUGGCCGAUUUCGGUCAGGAGUGUUCUCUCUUACAGACUAAAGGUAUUUAGUGGUUUAGGGAGGGAGAGCAUAUUGUAGACUUGGAAUGUUUCUGGGUGGAGGAGAGUUUUAUUGUCAGGGGUGUAAUGUCUCUGGUUGGAGGGGAGGCAUAUUUCUGAUCAGAGUGGGGUUUAUCUCAGGGUUGGAAAGUUUCUGGUCAGAAGUGUUAUUUGUGGUUUAUGGUCAUGCUGACAUUAGCCAUUAGGCUGAUGUUUCUGGGGCUGGAUUUAGGCGGUUUUUAAUCAAGGGGAACUUAAAAUGGCGGUGCUUGUCCAAGAUGGUGAUGCUCUUGCUCUGUCAGAAACUAGCAUGGGCCAGAUCCUGUAAGGCUUUGUUAGCCAAGAAAGGAAUUGAAAGUUUAUUCUAAACGCAAUAUAAGGUAUUACAGAGUUUUUAAUAGGGGAGAGACACCCAGAGUUUACUUUUUUUUAAAAAAAAAAAGUCUCGUCUUUGAAAAGAAUGGGUCUUAAAGAGGCCAAAGCAGAAGUAAGGGAG